UUUUUUACGCAUUCAACAAAC
ensembl:piRNA 21ur-8929 ncRNA